rnacentral:lncRNA from 1 species
AACAACUGCUUACUGCCGGGGAGCAAAAUGCAGGUUUUAAAGACAAGAACGCUAUUUUUAUAAACAACCAGGACGGCAGUAGAAGAAAAUCUCUGCUUAACAUUGACCAGCCCGCUGCUGUGUAUAAACCGAUCCAAGAGGAACCAGUUAACCUGCUACGUGAACAAGAUUUCAGCAUCAGACUGUGGGCAGGUGCAGACCGCAUCGGGAGCAUCAGGGCAGCCUGACCAGCCUUGAGCAUUGCUUACUGGCUGCCGCUCUGGGUGAAACUAGUUGAUGAUCCAGUCAAUCAGUCCAAAUAGAGCCUCCUUUUUGUCUCCAUAAGUUGUUUUUUUAAAAAUGUGCACUCGUUCCUGUUGAACCGCACACUCUAUGAACUAUUUCUUUGCGUGGUUGAUGCUAUUUUGGUUUCCGUUCUUACCUUCCUAUUGGUGCCUCACGACGCGGUGUCGUCUGUGAUCUUAAUUAGGAAGGCCUCGGUUACAUCACUGGGUAAAGACAGAGAUGCCCGGCACGGGCUGCAGCCCUGACACGAGCGAGAGCGUGCAGGAUGCUUCCAGGUUGAGGCUCCGUCAUCCGCAAGCCACGUUUCGGGUGAGAUCAUUCAGCUCUGGCUGUGGCACCUAAGAAAGAAGAGUUGUAUUUCCUUCUGUCUCUUUGAUGAAAUGUCGGCGGUGACGGAAUCUAAGGUCAGACUCCAGCCCGGAGAGAUUACAUCUCUUGCUCUUUCCUUAUCGACAUGGCCUGUCCAUCAUUGAGGAAGAUUCAGUCGGCCUGCCAAGAGUUGAUCUUCGCAUACGGUCGAGGUGAGUGUAAAUUGAUUGCUCCUUGUUGCUGGACUUGCUCUUGACCCUAAAGAGAAGUGGGCUCGUGUCGUGGCCUGCGUGAGCCCGGACGACGGGAAUCAGGGAGACCUAAGGUUACACUCUGCACCGGGCAUCACGCUGGGACCUGUACGAGGAUUCGCAGCAGCCCAGAGAGGCUGGUAUCGCUGUUCCUGUUUUCCAGUUAAGGAGCCCGAGGCUCUGAAGGUAGAGGAUCGUGUGCCUGGCUGCACAGCUGGCUGGUAGCAGAGAACUUGAGCUUGAGUCUUUCACACUGACUCUCAGCAGUUACAAAUGUGUGCCAACCUGAAGAGUGUCACCAUGUAGGAAAGACCAUCUUUAAACUCCGAAGGCUUCCCACAUCACCUGGGCACAAACGACCUCAAAGUUUCCAGUCUUCCCUCUAAGACCCAGUCCCCUUGGCCACGUGCCUCCUGGACGUCAUUCUAAAAACCACAGCUCCACGUGUCAACUCUACUCUCUUCUCUCCAAACCCAGGACCUGCCCACCCCUCCUGUCACUUCCUGUGCUUUUCGGUGUUCUUUCAUCCUUCUCUAAAUCUGGGUUAUUUUUAAGCCCCCCCCCCCAUGGAUUCUUCCUCUAAAAUACGUCUCGUCUCCAUCUCUCGUUUUCUAUUUCCACCGUCCUUUUUGCCUUGAUCGCCUAGGGCUUAGAUGACUGCAAUAGCUAAAUACAUCUUUCACCAGCUGUCACAGUUUAAAUUCUGCUUAAUCAAGUCAGUUCCUUCCUCAAAAGUAUGGCCCUCGAUUUUGUCUGCAUAUUGAAUUACCUGGAGAAUUUCAAAGUGCUCAGAAUGAUGUGCAGCAUCACAGCACUGGGCUGUCAGCGUUGCAGGAGCCACGUCGGGAUUCUUCAUGUCUCUGAGACCCAAGGUGUUUGCCUAAGGUUCUGGGGGUCAGACACCAUCCCCAGGCAUUAGGGGGUAUGAUUCGAACCACACUCUUGUCUCUUUGGCCUGGAUGAGGGCAAGCAGGCUUGGCUGCCAACAGAGUCAAGUGGAUCAAGUUUCGCAGUAUUACGCCCCCUCCCAGUACCCCCUUUCCAAUACCCCCUCUCCAGUACCCUCUUUCCAGUACCCCCUUUCCAGCACCCCCUCUCCAGUACCCCUGAGGUAUCUGCCAAGUUUUCCAGGCAUUUACUCAGGUAGAUGGUGCCUCUGCGGCCUUUGGCCUCCCCCUAAAUGGCUGUGUUUCAAACUUGCCAGUUUCACAGUUUGCAUAUUAAGUAUUUUCUAACCAACUUUCUUAGAAUUCUCUGAUAGAGGAGAGUUGGUUGGCAAAUCUGACCAGUUAAUCCAGAAUAUAAUGGCUUAAUGCAGUGUUUUAAAAUUUGUGCUCCAUGUAACACUAGUACUAUAAGCUGCUCCAAAAAGGGAGAUUUCCAUGGCCAAAUAAUUUUAGCAAAUCUCUCGAGGUGUACUUUAGCAUGCUGAAGUCUCUGAGAAGGUCUGCAUUAAAAAAACCUGUGUUUAAUUUAGUUUCUUCAUCCCUAAUAAGUUCUCCACUUAUUUGACCAUGGAACCCUUUUUAUUUUCAAGCACUGUACACCAAAACUAAGACACAGUGCCUAUAAAAUGCAUUAUUAUUUCAGAGAUGUUAAGGAGAAAAAUGGUCCGUGACGAUUGUAUGGUACGUUGAUUGUAACAAACUUCCUGAUUGUAGAGGUGUUAAA